AAGUUGAAAAGAACUUUGAAGAGAGAGUUCAAGAGUACGUGAAACCGUUCAACCGUUUCAAAACCUANGAAACCCAAAAGAUCGAACGGANAGAUUCAUCGUCAGCNACGCCGGCUUCCGGCGUUUGUCGUCGUGCACUUCUUCCCUAGUAGAAUGUCGCGACCCGCUAGAUGUCGGUCUUCGGCUCUGCUGCGGUGACUGACNCGUUGCCGGUAAAACGGAACGCGUCAAACCCCCGGUCGCUCGGCCGGCUGCCCAGNGAUACACGCAAGGUAUCAGGCCGCAGNUNUCAAACAGANGUAGUAACGGCCGNUCUCUCUCGNUCUCUUUUCGGGGUGGGCGGGGGCAGGGUGUGUUUGUCCGUCGGUGAGUGUGCGUCGAAGCCGUCGCAAGCGCGUGCCACGGUACACGGAUUGUUAACGGACCUAGCGCCAUCACCAGUCCUGGCCCGCUGUUGGCUCGUACGUUUAACCUUNGACACGCCCGCAAACGCGUCCNNCGCGCCGCGCANUCUCUCACGGGUCUGCGCGCGCGCGC
rnacentral:rRNA from 1 species